rnacentral:rRNA from 1 species
UACGUAGGUGGCAAGCGUUGUCCGGAUUUACUGGGCGUAAAGAGCGCGCAGGCGGUCGUUCAAGUCGCGUGUGAAAGCCCCGGGCUCAACCUGGGAAUGGCAUUUGGGACUGCAAGGCUUGAGUGCGGCAGAGGAGACUGGAAUUCCUGGUGUAGCAGUGAAAUGCGUAGAUAUCAGGAGGAAUACCGAUGGCGAAGGCAGGUCUCUGGGCUGACACUGACGCUCAUGCACGAAAGCGUGGGGAGCAAACAGG